GGUCAGCCCAGGGCAGAACAAGGAUGUGCUCACUUUAAGGGACAGAUGGUAUCUAUUUAGCUAAAUAUUCUUCCACUAAGGCUGUUUUAACGCCCAGAUCAUUUUUAUCAGCUUCUUAUCACAUUUGGGAGCCCAGCAUGCUUCUGAUGGAGGCUGUGGAACUGGCUCACACAGUACUAUAAUAACAAGCACUGGCAGGCUGCCCAGCAUCACUGUACUCUGGUUGGAAUCCAAGAAAUUCUUUCAGAAAAUGGAACAUUCUUCUGUGCACAUCCAACUACUUAUCCUGUAAGAGGGAAUAUAAAGGAGAUUGUAUGCGAUCAGACAGAGGUCAUUGGAG